GCCCGCCCCUCGGAGAAGACCGGCGAGCGCCUGGUCCCGCUCGGGCUGACUCAGCGCUGGGGCGAGGCGUAUUUCUCUGCAGCAAGGGGUUCGCACAGAGCCUCGCAGACUCUCCUCCCCCGGAGCGACCAGAGGAGAGCUCCGGCGGGUGAUGGGCGGGGAGGUGCCCCCUCGUGUUUUAGAAGAUGCUUUCCCCGAGGAAAAAAAGGGAAAGGGGGCUGGGAGGUGGGGGAGGCAGGUAGUUUGCAGAGGUUGCGGCCCCUGGACAGACCCCAACUGUACGGGCACAUCUAAAAGGAGAUGGGGUGGGAGUGUCUCAACACAGCUUCUGGGCAUCCAAAUCUUUCUCAGCCUCAACUUGACCCUAGUACUGGGAGGUGCAGCUGCAGACAGGAGCUGUCAGGAAACGGGAGGGUGCGUAGUCCUGGAAGUACGGUUGAGAAGCUCUCGGCAGCUCCCAAGGGUCAGGUUGCAAAUACAGCAGACAGGUACGCCGCCAGACACUGGAAGAACUUCCUAACCUCGUGCGUGCGGGUCCCCGCGAGCCCUGCGAGCGAGCGGGGAGUGAGAAGGACCCAGCCUCCGUUGCCCCGACCCCUCCAGUCCCAGAGUAGCGGGCUCUGCACUGCUGGGGGAGCGGUGGCUGCAGGGACCCCCUCCCGUGAGAGGGUGGGAGGAGGGGCCGGGCGGGGCCGAGUGGAGCGGGGCCGGGGCGGCAGUCUGUAGCUGUCUCCGAGCUGCGUCGGUCCUCCGGCUCGCUCUGCCAGCGCCGCUCCUCCUCCCUCCCACGAUUUGCCAGCGAGCGCGGUUACCGCCCGCGCCCAGAGGAGCCGCCGGGGCCAAAACAGCAAUUUGUUCCCCUACGAGUGAAGCGGGAGGCCCAGCACCCCCGCCCCUCAAAGAGACACAUCUACAGCCACCAGCAACGGAAAGAAAGGAGUGUCGCCCGGUCCACCCACCCCUCAUCAGCGAAACGGGCACCUGUAUUAAAUGAGCUGGUGCUUUAGGAGGAAAAGGAGGAAGCGUCCUCCUCACGUAGUCCUCCGAAUCUUGGAAUCCCGCUCGCAGGAAGAACGACCCCAAGGAACCUGCAGAUCCCGCUCCCCACGCCCACCCCCACAGGCAAAGUCGGCCCUCCCGCAGCCCACCACCUCACCCUCC
rnacentral:lncRNA from 1 species